GACGGAGGUCCCAAGCGUUGUUCGGAAUCACUGGGCUUAAAGCGCGUGUAGGCGGGUCGGCACGUACCUUGUGAAAUCCCUCGGCUCAACCGAGGAACUGCUCGGUAUACGGCCGGUCUUGAGGCAGGUAGAGGCGCCUGGAACCUUAGGUGGAGCGGUGAAAUGCGUAGAUAUCUAAGGGAACGCCGGUGGCGAAAGCGGGGCGCUGGGCCUGUCCUGACGCUAAGACGCGAAAGCGUAGGGAGCAAAC
rnacentral:rRNA from 1 species